CUGUGAUUGGUACCUCCUCUGGGGACUGUGGGACUGUCUGCCAAGUUUGCACCCACAGUAGACCAGCACUAACCACAAAAGCCUAGGAUAACUGCCAUCUGGAAGGCUUCACCCAACAACUGAUGCAAGCUGAUGCUGAGACCCAUGACUGAACAUUAGGUGUAGCUUGGGUAAUCCUGUGGGAGAUAGAAGGAUUAAGGAAGCCAGGGACGUCAAGGACACCACAGGGACAUCUAUAAAAUCAAGUAACCUGGGCCAGUAGGGUCUCACAGAGACUGAACCACCAAUCAAAAAGCAUGCAUGGGACAGACCUGGGCCCUCUGCAUUUUCUCUCCCUGAGACAUGAUGUUGCCAAGACCUUGCAGGAGACAACAUAAGAGCUUCGGUUGUGGCUGAGCACUCAACUGCUACAUUCCAGGAACCUUGUGUAGCCAGAAUACCUUGCCUGCAUCACUACUCUCUAGAAACUGAAGUUUCUCUCCAUAAGGCUGAGUGGUGAUUAUCUUGAUGUCUUGUCUAGACUGACCUCAAAUUAUUAUUCCUCCGCCUCCUCCACGAUGGAACCACAGGCAUGCAACAUCAUGCCUAGCUAGGAAGUAGCUGAGUGAAUAUUCUAAGACCUCACUUUGUGAAAACAGACAGCCCAUCAUUACUUCAGCCCAGUAGUCCACUGUGAGGCACCCUGUGAGAGCAGUCUGAGGACUACCAGCUUCUCUGAGGAAGAGAAAGGAUGAAGUGAAAGGAAGAAAUGUUGACUUGUUUCCAGCAUAACUUUACUGUAUGCUUUCUUAAAUAAGAGCAUAAUUGUAAUUGAGCCCAAAAUAUUAAUACUAUU